rfam:Pteropus alecto contig57498, whole genome shotgun sequence.
GUCUACAGCCAUGCCACCCUGAACGUGUCUGAUUUCGUCUGAUCUUGGAAGCUAAGCAGGGUUGGGCCUGGUUAGUACUUGGAUGGGAGACCACCUAGGAAGACCAGGUGCUGUAGGUG